GAUGAACGCUGGCGGCGUGCCUAAUACAUGCAAGUCGAGCGAACAGACGAGGAGCUUGCUCCUCUGACGUUAGCGGCGGACGGGUGAGUAACACGUGGAUAACCUACCUAUAAGACUGGGAUAACUUCGGGAAACCGGAGAUAAUACCGGAUAAUAUAUUGAACCGCAUGGUUCAAUAAUGAAAGACGGUUUUGCUAUCACUUAUAGAUGGAUCCGCGCAGUAUUAGCUAGUUGGUAGGGUAACGGCUUACCAAGGCAACGAUGCGUAGCCGACCUGAGAGGGUGAUCGCCCACACUGGAACGGAGACACGGUCAAGACUCCUACGGGAGGCAGAAGUAGGGAAUCUUCCGCAAUGGGCGAAAGCCUGACGGAGCAACGCCGCGUGAGUGAGGAAGGUCUUCGGAUCGUAAAACUCUUUUAUUAGGGAAGAACAAAUGGGUAAGUAACUAUGCACGUCUUGACGGUACCUAAUCAGAAAGCCACGGCUAACUACGUG
rnacentral:rRNA from 1 species